UGCCCAUCUGUUGUACUUCAGUGAGGUAAUAAACAUAAAGAUUUAUUUAUGUAUUGUAAGCAACGUAUUAAAUAGUAAUAAUUAACUUAGUAAUUAUUCUAAAAACUAUCAGUGAUGUUAGUGUUAAUAAGCUAUGUCAGUUGUGUUUAAGACAACUUACUAAGUGAAUUCAUGUUUUCAUCUUACAUUUUAUUAGGUUGUUCAAAGGACAUGUCAUCUGGAUACAGUGAUGUUGGGAAAAGAGAAAUUUCUGUUGCAGCAACCAAAUAUCCGAAUUGUGUUUUAAAGUCUAAAUUUCUAUCCCACCACGUCCUUCAAUUGAUGUUCAAAUAGCAUCCGAGGUAAAAAGUAUUUAUCAACAUAACUUAUAUGCAGUCUUCGGCAAUGAUGUUAUUGACAAGUUUUUUCGUAUCAGAUGAAUUAUCUAUAUGGAACUAACUAGAAAAUGAAAAUAUAGUGCAUGCUAAUAUAUUCCAAAAAUUCUGAUCAUAAUGCUAAUCCAGUACUUAUGUUCAACAUAUCAGAAGAUAAAUAAAUUAUUAUUUUGAAGUGUUGUCAGAGUUAUAAUGAUUAACUAUUUUGUUAUUUAACAUUGCUUCUAUACUCACUAAACAUCGUAGUACAAGUAGUUGACCAGUACUUCUAUUGUAGUUCAUAAAGUAGUGAAUAAGUAUGUGCUUCAUACUUCAGUCAUGUCAAGUCGUAUUGAAGAUAAUCGGGAGAAAUUUGCGUUACAUACAUGAAGUAAAUUGUCAUCAGAAAGGGACUGAAAGUAAUGGACAACACACCAUCGAUUUUGGACAUUUUAUCAAUAUUCAAGUUAUAUGAAAAGAAGUUAAAUGUGUUCUAUUUCAAUCAAAUAUUUUAAAUGUUUCCUCAUGGUUGGAUCUGCCAUCAGAAAAAUUGUUCCGGUUUCUUGAGGAACUGAUAUUAAAGACAAGUAAAGAACAACUUGACAGGUAUGAAUAGCUAAAGGUACUCUUGUAUCUUUUUAUGGGAAAUAUUUUCAGACUAACAUUUACUAUUUAAAUUUGUUUUAGUGCAUGGAUAAAAGAUUAUAUUCCCGCUAUAUAAAUAUCACUGGAAGAAGUAUUGCAGAGCAACUGAUUAGCAGACAAUGUAUGGAUCACGAGGUUUAUAAUAUAUGUGUUCAAAGGCUUAAUCAGUUGGAUGAUGAGCAUCCAAAACAUGGUGAUUUAUGACAAAGUAGGAUAUUUCCUAAACCAGAGUUUGUUGUAAGCAUCUUUUCUGCAUUCUUAUUUUAUAUAACAAGAUAACUGUUGGAAAUAUGCCCUAGAGGCAAUAAUAAAAGCAUUAUUAUUAUA
rnacentral:lncRNA from 1 species